UGCUACGAAGUUUUGCGCAUAUAUUUGGACAGCCACAUGGGGGCGCUGUUUGGUUCGUGAUUGAACGUCCCGCCCCAUGAUGAAACGCUAGACUGCGCAGAUGCGGAUGUGUCGGCUUCGGGGGGCUCGUUGAUUGGACAGUACGCCGAGCUAGCGCUAAAGCUUAGCCAGUUAGCCUGGCGGAAAGAAGGUGUAAGAUACAUUAACGCUUGGUACAUUGGUUACUGGCCAAAUAACACAGUUGGAUCGGUAUAUCUUCGGUUAAUUUGAAGGGUUAGCUGCUGCUCACGUGCAGUAGAAGCUUCUUCGCCGGGCGCAUUGACGUGGAUCGCGACAAACAAGCAGACGAGGUGAGAGAUGUCCCACUACUCCUCAUCCCGUAGCUCGUCGCGGGCCACCGACUGUAAAGUGUACGUCGGUGACCUGGGCAAUGGCGCAGCGAAAGGCGAGCUGGAACGGGCUUUUAGCUACUAUGGCCCCCUUCGUACUGUGUGGGUUGCCCGGAACCCUCCUGGGUUCGCCUUUGUCGAGUAUGAGGACCCCAGAGAUGCUGAGGAUGCUGUGAAGGGAAUGGAUGGAAAGGUCUUGUGUGGUUCUAGAAUUCGCGUUGAGCUUUCAACCGGCAUGUCCAGGAAGGGUCGCGGGCGCCCAAGUCGUCGCCACUUUGACCCCCAAGACCGUUGCUACCAGUGUGGUGACCGUGGCCACUAUGCAUACGACUGCUACCGCUUCAACAAGAGGGGAGGUGGCCGACGUAGCAGGUCCCGCUCUCACUCCAGAUCUCGCUCCCGGUCCAGGUCCCGUGGCCGUCGCUACAAUUCCCGCUCUCGUAGCCGUAGCAAUGAACGUGGCAGUGGGCGACGCCGUUCUCCAUCGUACUCUAAGCGCAGAAGCAGGUCUGGCUCCCCAGCCCGCUCUAAUAAGUCCAGGACUCCUGCGAGGAGCCGCUCUAGGUCCCGGUCCAGGUCCGCCUCGGCUCCCCGCCGUCGCUCUGCGUCUGGCCCCAGGCGCCGCUCUGUGUCUGGCCCCAGGCGCCGAUCGGCCUCGCGCUCUCGCUCCCGUUCACCUAGCCACAAGAGGACAAGCGUGUGGUGGCAGCGGACCCCAGGGUCUGCCCGCUGCCGGCGGUCACGGCCUGCGGGAGGGUGACUUAAGCCCUGAGCUGAGAUCAGCCUCCGCCUGCAGCUGGCGUUAGAGUGAGAGAGAGCGAGAGAGAGAGGUCGACCGACCGACCGAGCGCUCCCCCCCACAGUGAAUGGGCGACCGACGCACGCGCUCAGACCAGAACCGCCCGAGCACACACACAGUUGUUCUACUAGAGCCAGCCUUCAGGCCUGCCAGCGGGCGGACCCACACAGUCAGAGUCUCGACCACGACCUUCUUGAACCCCUCCCCCCCCCCCCUCCCCUUUCCCUUCCUCCACCCUCCUCUCCCCCUUCACCUUCCUACCUACCGGAGCUCUCCGGCCUCUGUCUUAGCUUAUGAGAGGGGGAGGGAGCGCGCUGAGGAGACAGCCGUCUUCAAGAGCCUCCCAGAGCAGUCUCUUCGAGUAGUAGUCAUCCGUCCUUCAGUGCUUUCGUCCUCCGCUUCAAUGUACUUGUUGUUUCUGGCUCAAAGUCGUUCCCGCACACCAAGCGCAAAGAGGAGCCCCACCCCUGCAGGCGACUGAACAUACCCAACCACACCCCAAUAACAUCCACCCUGUUACACACCCUAAUAACGCAGAGUAAUAACACACACCUAACCAAACCCUGACACACACGUUAUUAUCACACACCCAACCUCACGGUAAUAUUACAUGCUAAUAACACAUUAACCCUAACCACACAACACAAACACAAAAAAAUUCUCCAUCUCCCCCCCCCAAACAAAACUAGUCUCUCAGAAACCAUCGUGUGCGGUUUGCUUUGAACAGUUAUUUUGGCAGUUGAAAUUGGCACAUUGUAUGGACCUGGCUAUUUUAGUUUUUAAGUUAUGUGCCCGUUAUCCUUAUGCUGAAUGGCACCCUUUAUUAUUUCUUUUUACACUUCCAAGGACCUUGCAAUAACUUGCUUGUAUUUCAAAGAGAAAAUGUACAUUAUGGUCGAAUUGUUAGUUCGUAACAAAUCCUGAAGGUUUUUUUUGGUUUAAUUUAUGGAAUGAAACUCUUUCACACUGAAACAUGCUUAAAAAAGACCCAACCUUAAUUGCUUGUUAUUGUGUUAUUAAUCCUCCGUUGCUGUUGUUUAUUAGGACUUUAUCUUAUGUUUUAUGGGAUGACCCGAACCCCCCCCCCCCCCCCCCCCCUAGGCUGUUCAGUUCCAGCCCCACCUCUGUCCCGUCGGGACUGGCCUGCAUGUCUUGGGACCAUGGUUACAUGUCGUCAUGGUUACCGUGUCGCUGGCUCAUGGAGGAGGCCGACCCUAAGCAUGAAGUCUGGUCUUCUACUGCACUGCCCGUUUUACAUGUCCUCAGCCCACUGUCAACUGAUCGGGAUUUCUGCUGUUCAUUUGUUUGUGAUUAUUUUUUUUGUAUAGGUUUUUAGAGCUAUAGAGAUCUGGCUUUUGUUUUUGUAAGGGCUUGUUCUUAAAGGUUGGGUAUGGAAUUCUCUUUUCUGGUCAUUUUUGAAAAAUUACUUAAUCCUUAUCAUCCCCCACUUACAGCCACUGAGUUAGAAGUACUGACAUGGAAAUUAAACAAGUCAAUCAUCUGUGGAACGGGCCGGGCUCGAAAAAAUCUCCAGCCAAUGAUUUCCACAACCACCGAGUGGCAUUGGACAGUAAGUACGUCAAUCAAACGGUCGUAUUGCACUCCCCCGCGCGUGACCCCUUCGUGCACGUACUCAAAGCUCGUGACCCAGAGCAAGCUUCUGUUAUCCCGGGGUAGCUACUGGAGCUAGCUAAUGGCUCGCUCUCGCGCAUCUGUGUUCGCGCUCGUGCAUGAUUGCGCGUCCAUGUACUUGGAAUGGGUAGAGUCAGCAUUGAAGGAGAGUGGGUAGGUCCAUUUGAGUUGUGAAUUUUCAAAAUCUGCGGGCGUUUCGCAAAUCCCAUACCCAACCUUUUAGUAUUGGUUGACUCUCCCUGGCUCGCAAGUGGCAGUUAUUUUUGAAUAAAUUUCUUGGACAUGUCUUUCGUCUGGUCAUUUGUUCAUUUGUAUCGGCUUUCGUCAUACAAUUUACAAAUAAGCAACUGAAAGUUGAUUUAUUGUCCUCUUUCCAGCAACUUAUUUUAAAUAUAACUUGUAUUAAUUUAACCCACAUAAAAUACUGGCAAUUAAAGGCUAAGUAAUAUUACAUGGGAGGAAGUGCAGCUCACAGAAUAUAAGCAUAGUGCUUCUUUAAGCGCUAUGUUAACCGUAGUAAGCGACCACAUAUUGUGACUUCACUAAUGUAUUUGGUCUCGUUAAAAAAUAAUCCACUGGACUGUUGCCAUUCAAAAGACACAUUUUCACGAGAAAUUGCUUGCUGAUUUCACACAGGUCCACACGUUGAUGCAAUAUAACUUUGGUAUUAUGUACAUUUGUCUGUUUCCAUUUAUUGUGCAACCAGGGGAAUAAGAGAGGAGCCGGUCUUAACCGCUUGAUCACACUACGUUGUUAUCGUUUCCGGCUUCUUUCCUCACCAUUUAGCUAAAAAGUUAUCUUUGGGAAUGUUAAUCUUUGCAGUGCGAAAUGAUGUUAAAUCAAGUGUCCCACUAGUGCUCCUUUACUCUCUACAGCACCCAUAUGAGGCAUGUGCCUUUAAAAGACUGUCGGACUUAAAUAAUAUAUAAUUACAUCUAAUUGUACUGCAAUGUCCAAAUCCAGUCUUAAUCAUUACGAAUCGAAUAAUCAAGAAACACAUUUUUGCAUGGUAAGGGUAAGCACUAUGUUUGUUUGCGGUACAUACGCCGCCAUAUUGACAGGGCCCAUGAGAAUUCACCCUGUGAACAUACGUGACCUAGGCUAGUCGCAACUUAGUGUGUUCUCGCAUUGGAAUCAAUUUAAAAAAACAAAGUGCCUCAAUAAUGAUAAAUAUAUUUUCCCAUUUAAUGACCCAAAAAAACCUACUUCUUACAUACGCAUUCCAAUGCGCUCAUGUUUCCAAUAUCGAGGCGGUCUGGGAUGCGGUUAUACAUCAAUAUAAAAGCUCGAGUAUGCAAUACUUCGUCAGACAAAUUCUAAUGUGUCUAUUUGUCCCUGUAAAUUACACCAUAGUAUCAAAAACUGGAAAACUAUAUUUGUACUACUGUAAAAAAAAACAUGGUGGAAAAUUCGCACAUGAUAUUUGAAAAAGCAUGGUAGGUUGUAUUGAUUAUUUAUAUACGACCCUGAUAACGGCGAUCUGGUAAUGUAUUUCUAUUGGUUCCUCCUUGUGUC